CGCUGGCGGCGUGCUUACACAUGCAAGUCGAACGGGAUCCAUCAAGCUUGCUUGGUGGUGAGAGUGGCGAACGGGUGAGUAAUGCGUGACCGACCUGCCCCAUGCACCGGAAUAGCUCCUGGAAACGGGUGGUAAUGCCGGAUGCUCCAUCACACUGCAUGGUGUGUUGGGAAAGCCUUUGCGGCAUGGGAUGGGGUCGCGUCCUAUCAGCUUGAUGGCGGGGUAACGGCCCACCAUGGCUUCGACGGGUAGCCGGCCUGAGAGGGCGACCGGCCACAUUGGGACUGAGAUACGGCCCAGACUCCUACGGGAGGCAGCAGUGGGGAAUAUUGCACAAUGGGCGCAAGCCUGAUGCAGCGACGCCGCGUGAGGGAUGGAGGCCUUCGGGUUGUAAACCUCUUUUGUUAGGGAGCAAGGCAUUUUGUGUUGAGUGUACCUUUCGAAUAAGCACCGGCUAACUACGUGCCAGCAGCCGCGG
rnacentral:rRNA from 1 species